rnacentral:tRNA from 1 species
GAGGCUUUAGCUUAAUUAAAGUGUCUGAUUUGCAUUCAGAGGAUACAGGUUAAUAUCCUGUUGGCCUUA